AUGGCUGCGCAAUCUUGGAACCCAUUCUCGUGCUGCGUCGGCGGCAGCAGAGUGGCGGACGACGACUACGACGACUGCAAGCGGCGGAUCAGGCGGAGUGUGAAAGGCUGCCCGAGGUCGUCCUCGAGGAUGUCCUUCAAGAGCCUCAGCUCGUCGGGGACGCUGUCGCCGGAGGAUCUGUCCAUCACGCUGUCCGGCUCCAACCUGCACGCCUUCACCUACGCCGAGCUCCACAAGGCCACGGGGAGCUUCUCGCGCGCCAACUACCUCGGCUGCGGCGGCUUCGGCCCGGUCUACAAGGGCGCCGUCGACGACAAGCUCCGCCCCGGGCUGGCCGCGCAGGCCGUCGCCGUCAAGUACCUCGACCUGGACUGCGGCACGCAGGGCCACAAGGAGUGGCUGGUUUUCUUCCUUGGGCAACUGAGGCACAAGAACUUGGUGAAAUUGAUCGGGUACUGCUACGAGGACGAGCACCGGAUGCUGGUCUACGAGUUCAUGAGCGGCGAGAGCCUGGAGAAGCACCUCUUCAAGAGCAUAAAUGGCUCUCUCCCAUGGAUGACAAGGAUGAAGAUCGCUGUCGGCACGGCCAAGGGCCUUGCCUUUCUCCAUGACGCAGACCCACCGGUGAUCUACGGCGACUUCAAGGCCUCCAACAUCUUGCUCGACUCGGAUUACAACACCAAAUUGUCCGACUUUGGGUUGGCCCAAGAUGGGCCCCAAGGCGACGAAACACACGUGACAACACGUGUCAUGGGGACUCAUGGUUAUGCGGCGCCGGAAUACAUUAUGACGGGCCACUUGACUGCCAAGAGUGAUGUAUAUAGCUUUGGUGUAGUGCUUCUGGAGCUUCUCUCCGGGCUGCGAUCAGUGGAUCGUUCACGACGGAUAAGGGAGCAGAACCUGGUGGAUUGGGCUAGACCAUACCUCAAGCACUCUGACAGAUUGUACAAAGUCAUGGACCUAGCUCUCGAGUGCCAAUACUCAUGCAAAGGCGCCGAGGUGGCAGCACUGGUGGCAUACAAGUGUCUCAGCCAGAACCCAAAGUCUAGGCCCACCAUGACGGAGGUGGUCAAGGCCCUCGAGCCCGUCCUCAGCAUGGAAGACUUCUUUCCUGUGGGCCCAUUUGUGUUCACAGUCAUUGUGGAGGAGGACAAGGUGGUGGACAUGAAGGUGGGGGUCGAGGAGAAGCACCAGCACCGUUGCCAGAACCAUCAAGACAGGCAUCGGCAGAAGUACCCCGACUCAGCAAUCCAUGCCGGCACUGUGCCCCGCGCCCGCGAUGGGUUCAUUACCGGGUACAACCGGGAGAAAGGGGCAAAAGACUAA
rnacentral:rRNA from 1 species